AUUGUUAAUAACCCCAGGUCGGAGA
rnacentral:piRNA from 1 species